CGAAUUAUAAGCGAAGGUUGUAGCUGGCCCUCCCGGGGGCAACGUGCACGCCCGAGCUCUUAAUCCACUUACACCUGUGAACUCAAUGUGGGACCGUCCUUCGGGACGAUUCUCAUGUCUUUCAUAUACUCUUAUGUAUGUCACGGAAUGUCUUGUCGUUGCUUUAACGCAAUUAUAUACAACUUUCAACAACGGAUCUCUUGGCUCUCGCAUCGAUGAAGAACGCAGCGAAAUGCGAUAAGUAAUGUGAAUUGCAGAUUUUCAGUGAAUCAUCGAAUCUUUGAACGCACCUUGCGCUCCUUGGUAUUCCGAGGAGCAUGCCUGUUUGAGUGUCAUUAAAUUCUCAACUUCACCGAUUUGUUUCGAGUGAGGCUUGGACUUGGAGCGUGCNGGUCCUUCCUUGGGUCGGCUCCUCUUCAAAUGCAUCGGCGGAGUCAUCUUUGACUUGCGGUAUCGGCGUGAUAAUCGUGUUACGCCGUCGACCGAGGUCUCAGUCCGCUUAUAAUGGUCUUCGGACGACUUAUCAAAAUUUGACCUCAAAUCAGGUAGGACUACCCGCUGAACUUAAGCAUAU
rnacentral:rRNA from 1 species